GUUGUGAUUUGCUUUCAUUUUUGUAUCUUUGAACUAUUAGAAACAAC
rnacentral:other from 1 species